rnacentral:tRNA from 1 species
GGAGAGGUGGUAGAGCGGUUUAUUGCGUCGGUCUUGAAAACCGAAGAUGGGCGACCAUCCGUGAGUUCGAAUCUCACCCUCUCCG